rnacentral:tRNA from 13 species
GGCCAAGUAGCUCAGUUGGUAGAGCAGCGGACUGAAAAUCCGCGUGUCGGUGGUUCGAUUCCGCCCUUGGCCACCA